rnacentral:rRNA from 1 species
UACGUAGGGUGCAAGCGUUGUCCGGAAUUAUUGGGCGUAAAGAGCUUGUAGGAGGUUUGUCGCGUCUGCUGUGAAAUUUCGGGGCUCAACCCCGAACUUGCAGUGGGUACGGGCAGACUAGAGUGUGGUAGGGGAGACUGGAAUUCCUGGUGUAGCGGUGAAAUGCGCAGAUAUCAGGAGGAACACCGAUGGCGAAGGCAGGUCUCUGGGCCAUAACUGACGCUGAGAAGCGAAAGCAUGGGGAGCGAACAGG